rnacentral:rRNA from 1 species
GACGAACGCCGGCGGCGUGCUUAACACAUGCAAGUCGAACGGUGAAGCGAGUGCUUGCACUCGUGGAUCAGUGGCGAACGGGUGAGUAACACGUGAGUAACCUGCCCAUCACUCUGGGAUAAGCACUGGAAACGGUGUCUAAUACUGGAUACGACCAACCCUUGCAUGGGGUGUUGGUGGAAAGAUUUAUCGGUGAUGGAUGGACUCGCGGCCUAUCAGCUUGUUGGCGGGGUAAUGGCCCACCAAGGCGACGACGGGUAGCCGGCCUGAGAGGGUGACCGGCCACACUGGGACUGAGACACGGCCCAGACUCCUACGGGAGGCAGCAGUGGGGAAUAUUGCACAAUGGGCGAAAGCCUGAUGCAGCGACGCCGCGUGAGGGAUGACGGCCUUCGGGUUGUAAACCUCUUUCAGCAGGGAAGAAGCGAAAGUGACGGUACCUGCAGAAGAAGCACCGGCUAACUACGUG